ensembl:lncRNA
UUUGUUUUUGUUUUUGUUUUUGUUUUUGUUUUUUUGUUUUUUGUUUAAAGCAAAAUAUUUAUUCAUUAUAAUUGGUAAUAAAUAAAAAACAAUAUAAUAGUAACACGUAACAUGUAACACAUAUUAAUGAUACUAGAACAUAAGUACAUAAAUAUGUACAUUUAAGAAUAUGACAUUUUUUUUUUUUUUUUUUUUUGUUUGUAAAAUGAAUAUAUAAAAGAAAAAUAAAAUGUACAUAAUUUUUUGUUUUUACUCUUACCAUUCUCAUCAUUUACAAGAAAGUAAAAAAUAAAAAAUAAAAAAUAAAACAGAAAAAAUAAAACAGAAAAGAUGUUACAUGUCUAGAAAGCAUAAUAUCAUUGGCCUUAUAUUUAUUUUAAAAAUGUGUGUACAUACAUAAAAGAUGUUAUGCAUAAACACAACACAUACACAUAUAUGUACAUACAUUUAUACAUAGGAAAAAUUAAAAAUGUAAAAAUAAAAAUAAAUGGUGCUGCAUCAGCAUAGUAUUGUGUACAAAAAUAAAGAAGUGACAUAAAAUUAAAAAUAAACCUUAAACGCAUCAAUAUAAGAAAAUUGUAAAAAUAUAUACAUAUAUGUAUAUAUGUAUAUAUAUGCAUGCGCUUGAGUGUGUAUAAGAAUAAAAAAAAAAGAACGUUCACAAAUAAAUCAUAACAUAAUAUUUUUGUCCUAAGUUGGAAACAAAUAAAAUUGUUACAUGUAACAGAAAAAGGUUAAACUAAAAGAAGAAAAUAUAAAAAAAAAAGGAUUAUGUAUGUACUUAUUCUACCAUAAAAAAAAAAAAAAAAAAAAAAAAAAAAAAAAAAAAAAAAAAAAAAAAAAAAAAAAAAAAAAAAAAAAAAAACGAAAAUAAUUGUAAAAAAGAAAGAAAACACAGCUGUAGUGUUACAAAACAAGAACACGACAUUAUAUCUAUUACUUCUACUACAACUGGGACGACUAACAAUAAUUAUAAUACUAUAAACAAUAAUGUUAAUAAAAAUAAUAAAAAAAAUGAAAGAAUAUGUUCAGAUACAGAAGAAGAAACUGAAACAAAAACCAAUAUAAUAGAAUGCGAUUUUGAGCCAGAAAAAGAAGAAAAAUGUUGGGAUGAUUAUUAUACUCAAAGUAAUGAUAAAAUUAAACCAUUCACUGGUAUAAGUACUGAAUUAGCAGUAGAUGUAAUAACUGAUUUAUUAAAACCACAAAUUCGUAAAAUAAAAAUAAAUAAUAAAGAAUUUUUAUCACCUAUAAGUGAGAAUGAUACUAUAAUGGAAAUUGGGCAUGGUAAUCAUCCUUUGGCAGUUCAUAUGUUUGAGAAAUGGGGUACUGUUGGUCGAUAUAUUGGUGUUGAAUUUAGUGGAUUAGCUAGUACAGAAGCUUUAAAAUGUGAAAAAUUAAAAAAAAAAAAAAAUGAAGUAUACCAAAAUUUUGAUCAAAUGAGAAAUGAUUUUUUAAAAUUAAUUUUAAAAUCUUCAAAUACAAAAAAUAUGGAUGAAAUCGAUUGGUACUUACCUACUAUGGCUCCACCAAAAUGGGUUAGCAACUCUUCUGAAGAUAUUGAAUAUUUGGUCAAAUUGAAUGGCCAAGGUUUAUAAAUUUAUCCACGUAUAUAUAUACACUUUUGUAUGCAUAUGAUGCUUUGUUUAUGUAUA